GAACGCACCUUGCGCCCUUUGGCUAUUCCGAAGGGCAUGCCUGUUUGAGUAUCAUGAACACCUCAACUCUCAUGGUUUGCCAUGAUGAGCUUGGACUAUGGGGGUCUUGCUGGCCUGUGGUCAGCUCCUCUCAAAUGAAUCAGCUUGCCAGUGUUUGGUGGCAUCACAGGUGUGAUAACUAUCUACGCUUGUGACCGUUCACCAGGUAACCUUCAGCGAUGGAGGUUCGCUGGAGCUCACAGACGUCUCUCCCCAGGGAGGACAGCUUCUAAAUGUUUGAUCUCAAAUCAGGUAGGACUACCCGCUGAACUUAAG
rnacentral:misc_RNA from 1 species